rnacentral:rRNA from 1 species
GACGAACGCUGGCGGCGUGCCUAAUACAUGCAAGUUGAGCGCUGAAGGUUGGUACUUGUACCAACUGGAUGAGCAGCGAACGGGUGAGUAACGCGUGGGGAAUCUGCCUUUGAGCGGGGGACAACAUUUGGAAACGAAUGCUAAUACCGCAUAAAAACUUUAAACACAAGUUUUAAGUUUGAAAGAUGCAAUUGCAUCACUCAAAGAUGAUCCCGCGUUGUAUUAGCUGGUUGGUGAGGUAAAGGCUCACCAAGGCGAUGAUACAUAGCCGACCUGAGAGGGUGAUCGGCCACAUUGGGACUGAGACACGGCCCAAACUCCUACGGGAGGCAGCAGUAGGGAAUCUUCGGCAAUGGACGAAAGUCUGACCGAGCAACGCCGCGUGAGUGAAGAAGGGUUUCGGAUCGUAAAACUCUGUUGGUAGAGAAGAACGUUGGUGAGAGUGGAAAGCUCAUCAAGUGACGGUAACUACCCAGAAAGGGACGGCUAACUACGUG